rnacentral:rRNA from 1 species
UGAUCCUGGCUCAGAACGAACGCUAGCGGCGUGGAUUAGGCAUGCAAGUCGAACGAGAAUUCCCUUCGGGGGACCGGUAAAGUGGCGAACGGGUGAGUAAUGCAUAAAUGACCUACCCAUGACCAGGAUAACUACUCGAAAGGGUAGCUAAUACUGGAUGCGAUCUGGUGUCUGUGCGCCAGAUUAAAGGUGGCCUCUGUUUCAAGCUGCCGCAUGUGGAGGGGUUUAUGUGCUUAGCUUGUUGGUGGGGUAAUGGCCUACCAAGGCUAUGAUGGCUAGCCGGCCUGAGAGUGUCCGGCCACACUGGGACUGAGACACUGCCCAGACUCCUACGGGAGGCUGCAGUCGAAUCUUCCACCAAUGCGCGAAAGCGUGAUGGAGCGACGCCGCGUGGGGGAUGAAGGCCUGGGUCGUAAACUCCUGUCACAUGAUCCUAAUGUCGUAGAGUUAAUACCUCUUGCGCCUAGUGUCAUGAGAGGAAGCACCGGCUAAAUUCGUGCCAGCAGCCGCGGUAAUACGAAUGGCAAGCGUUGUUCGGAAUCACUGGGCAUAAAGCGCGCGUAGGCGGCGGCAUAAGUCAGGUGAAAUCCCUCGGCUCAACCGAGGAACUGCAGCUGAAACUGUGUCGCUAGAGUACGGGGGGAGAACGGAAUUCCUGGUGGAGCGGUGAAAUGCGUAGAUAUCAGGAGGAACGCCGGGCGAAAGCGGUUCUCUGGCCCGUAACUGACGCUGAGGUGCGAGAGCUAGGGGAGCAAAGGAUUAGAUACCCUGGUAGUCCUAGCCGUAAACGAUGGGCACUAAGUAGGGGGGGCCAAGCUCUCCCUGCCGGAGCUAAUGUGUUAAGUGCCCCGCCUGGGGAGUAUGGUCGCAACUGAAACUCAAAGGAAUUGACGGGGGCUCACACAAGCGGUGGAGCAUGUUGUUUAAUUAUGCAACGCGAAGAACCUUACCUGGGCUUGACAUGUAAGUGGUACCAAACUGAAAAGGGGGACCCUCUCUGAGGGAGCUUACACAGGUAUUGCAUGGCUGUCGUCAGCUCGUGUCGAGAUGUUGGGUUAAGUCCCGUAACGAGCGCAACCCUUGCCCUUAGUUGCCAGCGGUUCCCGGGGACUCUAAGGGGACCGCCGGUGUUAAACCGGAGGAAGGCGGGGAUGACGUCAACAUCAUGGUCCUUACGCCCAGGGCCACAAACGUGCUACAAUGGCCGGUACAGAGGGCAAAGACCGCGAGGUGGAGCAAAUCCCAGAAAGCCGGCCCAAGUUCGGAUUGGAGGCUGCUUCGCCUCCAUGAAGUCGGAAUCGCUAGUAAUCGCGGAUCAGCCAUGCCGCGGUGAAUGUUCCUGAGCCUUGUACACACCGCCCGUCAAGCCACCCAAAUGGGCCGCACCCGUAGUCAGACCCAACCUUCGGGAGGGAUGCGCCGAAGGUGAGGUUCGUGAGGGGGACUAAGUC